UCCCAGUGCGCACGCGUGGCUGCAGCCCCGCCCCCGUUCCCCCGGCGCUCGGAGCCCGAGUCCGCGGGAAGAUGGCGGCGCCGCUCAUCCCCCUCUCCCAGCAGAUUCCCACUGGAAAUUCGUUGUAUGAAUCUUAUUACAAGCAGGUCGAUCCGGCACACACAGGGAGGGUGGGGGCGAGUGAAGCUGCGCUUUUUCUAAAGAAGUCUGGCCUCUCGGACAUUAUCCUUGGGAAGAUAUGGGACUUGGCCGAUCCAGAAGGUAAAGGGUUCUUGGACAAACAGGGUUUCUAUGUUGCACUGAGACUGGUGGCCUGUGCACAGAGUGGCCAUGAAGUUACCUUGAGCAAUCUGAAUUUGAGCAUGCCACCGCCUAAAUUUCACGACACCAGCAGCCCUCUGAUGGUCACACCGCCCUCUGCAGAGGCCCACUGGGCUGUGAGGGUGGAAGAAAAGGCCAAAUUUGAUGGGAUUUUUGAAAGCCUCUUGCCCAUCAAUGGUUUGCUCUCUGGAGACAAAGUCAAGCCAGUCCUCAUGAACUCAAAGCUGCCUCUUGAUGUCCUGGGCAGGGUCUGGGACCUCAGUGACAUUGACAAGGAUGGGCACUUGGAUCGAGAUGAGUUUGCUGUGGCCAUGCACUUGGUGUACCGAGCCCUGGAGAAGGAGCCCGUGCCCUCCGCCCUGCCCCCGUCCCUCAUCCCACCCUCCAAGAGAAAGAAGACUGUGUUCCCUGGCGCCGUCCCUGUCCUGCCCGCCAGCCCCCCACCAAAAGACAGCCUCCGCUCCACGCCGUCCCACGGCAGCGUCAGCAGCCUCAACAGCACAGGGAGCCUGUCCCCCAAGCACAGCCUCAAGCAAACACAGCCAACAGUGAACUGGGUGGUGCCUGUGGCAGACAAGAUGCGAUUUGAUGAGAUAUUCCUGAAGACCGACCUGGACCUGGAUGGCUACGUGAGUGGCCAGGAGGUGAAGGAGAUCUUCAUGCACUCGGGCCUCACCCAGAACCUUCUAGCACACAUAUGGGCCCUGGCCGAUACGAGGCAAACGGGGAAGUUAAGCAAAGACCAAUUCGCGUUAGCUAUGUAUUUCAUUCAGCAGAAGGUCAGUAAAGGCAUCGACCCUCCUCAAGUCCUCUCGCCGGACAUGGUCCCGCCUUCGGAGAGAGGCACGCCCGGCCCGGACAGUUCAGGCUCUCUCAGCUCCGGGGAGUUUACUGGCGUGAAGGAGCUUGAUGACAUCAGUCAAGAGAUCGCCCAGUUACAAAGAGAGAAAUAUUCACUGGAACAAGACAUUCGAGAAAAGGAAGAGGCAAUCAGACAGAAAACCAGCGAGGUGCAGGAAUUACAAAAUGACCUAGACCGCGAAACAAGCAGUUUGCAGGAGCUCGAGGCUCAGAAACAGGAUGCUCAAGACCGCCUGGACGAGAUGGACCAGCAGAAGGCCAAGCUCCGAGACAUGCUGAGCGACGUCCGGCAGAAGUGCCAGGAUGAGACUCAGAUGAUCUCAUCAUUGAAAACGCAAAUCCAAUCUCAGGAAUCUGACUUAAAGUCCCAGGAAGAUGAUCUGAACCGAGCCAAGUCGGAGCUGAACCGAUUGCAGCAGGAGGAAACCCAGCUGGAGCAGAGCAUUCAGGCUGGGCGAGUCCAGCUGGAAACCAUCAUCAAGUCCCUGAAGUCAACGCAAGACGAAAUCAACCAGGCAAGGAGCAAACUUUCCCAGCUGCAUGAAAGCCGCCAGGAGGCCCACAGGAGCCUGGAGCAGUAUGACCAGGUGCUCGACGGAGCCCAUGGUGCCAGCCUGACCGACCUGGCCAACCUGAGCGAAGGCGUCUCCCUGGCAGAGAGAGGCAGUUUUGGAGCCAUGGAUGAUCCUUUCAAAAAUAAAGCCUUGUUAUUUAGCAACAACACGCAAGAGUUGCAUCCGGAUCCUUUCCAGACAGAAGACCCCUUCAAAUCUGACCCAUUUAAAGGAGCUGACCCCUUCAAAGGCGACCCGUUCCAGAAUGACCCCUUUGCAGAACAGCAGACAACUUCAACAGAUCCAUUUGGAGGGGAUCCUUUCAAAGAAAGUGACCCAUUCCGUGGCUCUGCCACUGACGACUUCUUCAAGAAACAGACAAAGAAUGACCCAUUUACCUCGGAUCCAUUCACGAAAAACCCUUCCUUACCUUCGAAGCUCGACCCCUUUGAAUCCAGUGAUCCCUUUUCAUCCUCCAGUGUCUCCUCAAAAGGAUCAGAUCCCUUUGGAACCUUAGAUCCCUUCGGAAGUGGGUCCUUCAAUAGUGCUGAAGGCUUUGCCGACUUCAGCCAGAUGUCCAAGGUAAAGCCCCUCCACGGAGCCCCCGCGCCUCUGCUAGUGUCUUUGUGCCUCUUGUCAUGGUGUGGGCUGCCAGGCGUAAUUGUUCAUGUCACGUAUGUAUCUCCCCGGCACCUUUACAACACAAGGUCAGGUCUGGAAAGCAUCCAUGGCUGUGAUCCAAUGCACUGCAGUCCCGCGGGGUGAGCCCUGACCCUUCCCAGUGGCAUAGGUGCCCUGGGCUCCCCUGGCUCCCACUGGUGUCUGACGACCAUCAGGUCUCAGACGGUGAAGUCAUUGCCAUGGCCAAGUAGAAACUUGAGAAGGCGUUGGGCACAGGCGUCUCGAGAGGGCCAUGGGCAGCAGGCCUGCAGGUGCGAGGCGUCCAGGGAAAGUGGGCCAGCGAGUGUUCAGAGUCGCCCAUGUGACAGAACUCUCAAGGGGUGUUGAAAAGUGAGGGCCGGCCUCCGUGAAUAAAUGCAGACAGAUCCACAGGUGAGGAGUGAACUGUUGAAGGAGGACAGCAGCGAGGCUGGUUACCAGACUGGACCCGUCGGUGUCCGGCCCUCACCACACGGUGACCUGAACUCACUGUGGCUCUGGUCCCAGAUGGCUGUAGGGCUUCUCCAGACGCUGGCAGUGUGGUUGGAGCUCAUCUUUAAGGUAGCAUAGAGAAUUCUACAGGGAACAUCCAGAAUGGACAAGUCAAAAAACAACAAUAGAAGCCCCUUACGACUGAGGUGCCUUCCGGAAGAAACUGCUGGAAAGUUGGAAAUGGGGGCCGUGGAAUGAAGGAAAGCAGAUGAGGUGUGUCCCGUCCCUGACACCUGCGUCCACUCUGUCCCUUCUCGGCAGCCCCCAGGCAGGGGCAGAUGGGCUCUGUCUUCGGGGGGCUGCAGGGGCCUGCUUUCCUCACGAGUUCCACCUGCAGAGGCCCAGGCAUUAUCCACGCUGCGGGAAGAGGCAGUGGCCACAAGCAGAACACAGCCCCCCUCCUGGAGCCCAUGGCCCAGGUGGUAAGGGGUGGCCGGUGUGGGGGGUCCCCUGGAGCAGCUGGGCCCAGUCCCUGUGAGCGCUGCUGUCAGCCUGAAGGUGGUGAGGGGAGGGAGCCCCGGGAGUACCUGGAAGACGCGUGCCCCAGGCAUGAGGCCCCCUCGGGGCCCCACCGACCCCAUGCCCAGGUGCCCCAGGUGCCAGUGUGACUGGGCAGCCUCCCUUGGCUGCCCCGUGUUCACUCAGCUGGUGGAGCAGAUGAGUGUCUGAGCAUCUUGGGGUUGGCAGCGGUCGCAACUUGUGAUCACAGAACACAGAUUCCGAGAAGCACUUGAGAUUCUGUUCAGGUUUUCAAAGACGCGUGUGUGCAUGCCCUGGCGGCGCAGCAGAUCCCACUUCUGACCGAGGCAGGGUGUGUGUUUACACAGAUGAGCCUGGGCAGAGGGAGCCCAGAGGCCCUGGCAUGGCGCCCCCCUCCUUACAGCACACGGAGAAGGCCUCCAUCCCUCAUAUGCCAUGCUGUGACACGGUUUGGGACUGGCAGAAGAUUUAGGGCCCAGUGCACAGGCUCCUGGGCAGGCGGGAAACCAUCUCCCGAAAGCAGAAAACGUUGGCCACACGGUGGCAGCAGUCCCUAAGGCAGGCGUCCUGGUCGUUUCUGGUUGUUGCAAGUGGACUCCUCUUCCUUUGGGAGGCUGGAUCUGUCUUCCUCCUCUCACUGUGAGCAGAGGGAGCGAGAGCUAGCAGAGCCUGAGCUAGGGCCGGGAUCUAAUGACCGCCCUCUGCCUGUCCUUGGGCCCUGAAACCAGGGGCUCUUCACACACAUGCAGCUGUGAUUUCAGAGCCGGUCUCACUUCCUAUUGGCGGUGCCGGGCCAGGACAGAGUUGGACAGAGCUGUGGAAAAUGGGUCUCCAAUACUAUCUUGUUUUGAUUCCAGCGUUCCAUCAGCUGCCUUCAUGACACUUGUACAGCCGCAUUCUGAGCUCAACCCUGACCUUGCAGCUCUGUUUUUCCUUUUUGGUUACCUAUCUGUUUUUCAAGAACAACAUUGUGGAUAUAAAUAAAAUGCUAAGGGAAAUGAAA